rnacentral:rRNA from 1 species
GGAAAGGCGCGCGAUACAGGGUGACAGCCCCGUACACAAAAAUGCACAUGCUGUGAGCUCGAUGAGUAGGGCGGGACACGUGGUAUCCUGUCUGAAUAUGGGGGGACCAUCCUCCAAGGCUAAAUACUCCUGACUGACCGAUAGUGAACCAGUACCGUGAGGGAAAGGCGAAAAGAACCCCGGCGAGGGGAGUGAAAAAGAACCUGAAACCGUGUACGUACAAGCAGUGGGAGCACGCUUAGGCGUGUGACUGCGUACCUUUUGUAUAAUGGGUCAGCGACUUAUAUUCUGUAGCAAGGUUAACCGAAUAGGGGAGCCGAAGGGAAACCGAGUCUUAACUGGGCGUUAAGUUGCAGGGUAUAGACCCGAAACCCGGUGAUCUAGCCAUGGGCAGGUUGAAGGUUGGGUAACACUAACUGGAGGACCGAACCGACUAAUGUUGAAAAAUUAGCGGAUGACUUGUGGCUGGGGGUGAAAGGCCAAUCAAACCGGGAGAUAGCUGGUUCUCCCCGAAAGCUAUUUAGGUAGCGCCUCGUGAAUUCAUCUCCGGGGGUAGAGCACUGUUUCGGCAAGGGGGUCAUCCCGACUUACCAACCCGAUGCAAACUGCGAAUACCGGAGAAUGUUAUCACGGGAGACACACGGCGGGUGCUAACGUCCGUCGUGAAGAGGGAAACAACCCAGACCGCCAGCUAAGGUCCCAAAGUCAUGGUUAAGUGGGAAACGAUGUGGGAAGGCCCAGACAGCCAGGAUGUUGGCUUAGAAGCAGCCAUCAUUUAAAGAAAGCGUAAUAGCUCACUGGUCGAGUCGGCCUGCGCGGAAGAUGUAACGGGGCUAAACCAUGCACCGAAGCUGCGGCAGCGACGCUGAUGCGUUGUUGGGUAGGGGA